UACAAACGGAGCACGGACUAACUACUCACACGGUACUAAACCUCACAACCACACAUGCAAACCCCGUCGUACUCUCCGAAUAUAUACACAACCUCCACGAACUUCGACAUUGCUACUACACCAAGAGACCUGAUAAGAACACCUCAACAUAACAUGAGGCACCUCUCGAACCACAAUGAGAAUCCAAUUCAAUAGGACGGGUCAAGAGAGCGAAGGUCAUCCAUCAAGUACCCAAAGAAGCCUUGCUUGUGGCGUCACC
rnacentral:lncRNA from 1 species